GGGAAAGGGAAGGAGAAAAUUGAGUUGUUGCUGAAUAAGCCUUUAGUAAAAUCUACUUAAGAUUCCCUUGUGUGUAUGAGGGAAGCAGCUUUAAAACACUACUCAGGAGAAUCCAAUCACCAUUUUGGUUAGAGAGCAAGUGGCUGGCUGUUGCAUUUUGCCUGGGCCGAACUUCUAAGGAGGAAAAGCUUUCAACACUGGAUGGGGAACUGAAAUUGCUUCUACUUUGCAAGCAAGGCAUCUUGUGGUGGAGUACUCAUGUCUACUUAGGAAAUAAUGAAGAAUAAAUUAUGAAGAAUAAAUGCGUACCUGAGACCCAGUAUCUAUGCAAAAGAGGGCUCUUCUAACUUCAGAACAAUGAGGGACUGGACUGUGUAUCGUGAAGACUUCCUUGUGAAAGGUGAAGGGGCAGAAGAGCACAUUCAUUUUGAGAACUCUUUCAACACGGAUACAGGCCAGUAUUCUGCAUGCAAAGCAAAUAUUUUACUACUCAGUAAGACUUAGCAUUUGUAUUGCACUUUUUGAGUGUGCAAAGAGCUUCACAUAUAUUAUCUUGAUGUGAUCCUUACAACCACCCUGUAAAGUAAAUUAUUAUCCUUA